AUACGGAGGGUGCAAGCGUUAAUCGGAAUUACUGGGCGUAAAGCGCUCGUAGGCGGUUUGUUAAGUCGGAUGUGAAAGCCCCGGGCUCAACCUGGGAACUGCAUUUGAAACUGUCAGACUAGAGUUUGGUAGAGGGUAGUAGAAUUCCUGGUGUAGCGGUGAAAUGCGUAGAUAUCAGGAGGAAUACCAGUGGCGAAGGCGGCUACCUGGACCAAAACUGACGCUGAGGUACGAAAGCGUGGGGAGCAAACAGGAUUAGAAACCCCAGUAGUCC
rnacentral:rRNA from 1 species